rnacentral:rRNA from 1 species
UUCUACGGGGGGCAGCAGUGGGGAAUAUUGCACAAUGGGGGAAACCCUGAUGCAGCAACGCCGCGUGAGUGAAGAAGUCAUUCGUGAUGUAAAGCUCUAUCAGCAGGGAAGAAAAUGACGGUACCUGAGUAAGAAGCCCCGGCUAACUACGUGCCAGCAGCCGCGGUAAUACGUAGGUGGCAAGCGUUAUCCGGAUUUACUGGGUGUAAAGGGCGUGUAGGCGGGAAAGCAAGUCAGAUGUGAAAACCACGGGCUCAACCUGUGGCCUGCAUUUGAAACUGUUUUUCUUGAGUACUGGAGAGGCA